CCCUUAGAUGUUCUGGGCCGCACGCGUGCUACACUGAGUGGAUCAGCGGGUCAGGUUGCGCGAAAGUGUUUCCUAAUCUUGAAAUCCGCUCGUGAUGGGGAUUGACGGUUGCAAUUUUCCGUCAUGAACGAGGAAUACCUUGUAAGCGCGGGUCAUCAUCCCGCGCUGAAUACGUCCCUGCCCUUUGUACACACCGCCCGUCGCUCCUACCGAUUGAGUGGUCCGGUGAGGCUUUGGGAUCUGAGCAAAAAGAGCGUUUCGCUCGUUUGGCUCGGAAAACUCAGUCGAACCUUAUCACUUAGAGGAAGGAGAAGUCGUAACA
rnacentral:rRNA from 1 species